UAUGAUAAACCUAUGAAAGGAAGAAAAAUUUAUUGGAUGAAGGCAGGAAUAUUAGAAUCAGACUGCAUCUUAACCAUGAGCCCAUAUUAUGCUACAGAGCUUCUUUCAGGUCCAAAAAAAAAGUGUUGAAUUGGAUAACAUUCUUCCCAAGACUGACAUCAUCGAGAUUGUGAAUGGGAUGGAUGUUCAAGAAUGAAAUCCAGCAACAAACAGACAUAUCAGUGUCAAUUACGAUGCAACAACUGUGAGAUCUUCCUAAGAUGUCACUGCAACCUAAUCAUCUCAUUGUAAAUUUUGUCAUUGAAGAACACUUUCAGAAAACUGGCAAGAAGAAAAUGGAGCAAUAGCCUAAGUAGUUAGAAGUGAAGUAUCCAAACAAGGCUCGAGGAAUUGCAAAGUUCAAUGUUCCCUUGGCACAUAUGAUGCAAGCUGGAGCUAAUUUUAUCAUUAUUCCUAGUAGAUUUGAACCAUGCGGUCUUAUCCAAAUGCAAGGCAUGCAAGAUGGAAUGAAUGAUACAACAAUUUUACCUAUUAAAAAGGAGAACAAAGAGAAAAAGAAACCAGCAUUAUUGUUCUUUUGGUGUUAAAGCUCAAAAUGCGACACAUUUCUCUGGUAUGAAGCUUCAUCUUUUAAGACAGGGUAAUUGUGCAAAUGAUAUACAAGACAAUGCCUAAAGACUAAUGAUAAGUGGAAUCUAUUGUGGUUGCUUAUUUGUGCCUCCACUGGUGGACCGUCGAUAUGGUGAAAGAAGGUGUAAUUGGAUUUCAUAUGGGAGCAUUUAGUGUCAAUUGUGAUGCUGUUGAUCCGGUGGAUGUAACAGCAGUUGCAUCCACUGUCAAAAAGGAUUACAGCGUCAGGCUUGUCAGGGGCGGUGAUGACGACAUCGAGCUAGUCGGGGGCGGUGAUAAAUUAGUUCUCCAUUCAAUUGGAGCAAUAAAUUAUGGUAACAUAAGCACUAUUUUAUCAAUAUGUUAAACUAAGGAGCUUGUGGAAUGUCAGCAUGCUAUAG